GGGCGGGUGGCGAAACUGGCAGACGCACUGGGUUUAGGACCCAGCGAGAGAAAUCUCUUGAGGGUUCAACUCCCUCCCCGCCCA
rnacentral:tRNA from 1 species